AAUUUUUCAAAAAAAUUUGUGUAGUGACAAGCCAUUUCCAUUACUUGCAAUCGCGACCAUGAUUUAAAACCAUGAUGCCAAGCAAGUAUAUAAGAAAAAUUCGGAGUUUUUUUUUUCUUGGUUUUAAACCCAGUCGCCAAUCACAAAAGGAAAGGUGAGGAAAACAAAAGAAAAGAAGAAAAAGAAGCUAACCUUUGAUCUCCA
rnacentral:misc_RNA from 1 species